UCCCUCCAAUAGCCGGGACGGAUUCCCUGGGGUGAUCAAGACUGUACAGUCUAGAUGACCAGAGGGAAUCCCCCCCGGCUGUGGGAGGGA
rnacentral:miRNA from 1 species